AUGGCCAAACACAAACUGAAGACCAUUGAUUCUUUCUUCAAGAAGAAAAAUAGAAUUGAUGCAGAGUCGGUUGUUGCUUGCUCUGAUUUGGAAGAGGAAGAGGAAGGGGAAGGGGAAGGGGAAGGGAAAGAAGAAGAAGAAGAAGAAGAAGAAGAAGAAGAAGAAGAAGAGGAAGAAAAUGCCCCACUCAGAAUUCAGAGGGGCCCUGAUGGUAGUGGUGUUUUGGUACUUGAAAGAGACCCAGGGUUGCGUUGCCAACUCUGGGAUUUUCCUAUCAACGACCAAGAAAAAGCAAGAAAAGCUUAUGUGAAGCGUGGAGCAUAUCACUUUAAAAAGGAACUAUACCCUCCUAGUGGUCCAGCAAGCCACCCACGUAGGUUUCAGUAUCAUUGGUUCAAGGAAUUUCCUUGA
rnacentral:rRNA from 1 species